rnacentral:lncRNA from 1 species
AGCGGCUGGAGCUCUCUUGUGGGGUGUUCCCGAUGAGAAGGAGAUUUGCGAAUGGGUUGGGAGAGAUGGCGCGUUCCUUGUGUCUCACGGGGAGGCAGAGACAGGCAGAUCUGAGACUGAGGCUGCAUAGCGAGACCCUGAAGUCAAGAGAAGGAAAGUUUUGUUGUGUAGAAAAUAAAUAUAGCCAAUAAAGAUAGAUUGAGCCAUAGAAUGGGAACGGUGACCAUUUCAGUUUGGUUCCAGCUCCCAACAAAUUACUCCAGCUCUCAUGCCCUCGGCCUGCUGCCUCUGCCCUGCCAUUAGAGACUCACUCCCGAACCACAAGCUAAAAAUAAAAACGUUAAGCUGC